rnacentral:lncRNA from 1 species
UCCUCGUCCCUAGUUUCUCACUUCCCGGAGCCGCGCGGGCUGCUGACGCUGCCUUCGCGCUUCACCGUCUGUGCUCUAAGCUGCGAUCAGACCCACACCUUUCUCCCAGCCGGCCAGGAGGGUAGGACCGCUUUCCGUGUCCGGUUCUUUACUUCUUUAAUUUCUUUCCAUUUUUUUGGUCUGAUCUAAGAAAUGGCGAUGUUUUCUAACACACUGAGAGCCGAUGCCACGGCCACUGCUGAGCGUUUACUUCCUGUCCUGACCCAGCACAGCAAUCGUUAGGGCCGGAGCUGAGACCCCACUGCUGUCCCCAUGGAAACGACCUACGCCCACUAUACCUAGUGGUCUGCACCAGCCUCUAAACCCAGAAAUGAAAGUCACAGAGAGAACAGAAGAAAACAGAUACAUUAGAGAUGGUGCCCAGCUGAAUGUUGAAUGAAAUCAUAAUAAAUACAGAAGAAGCCUUCAUUCUGCGUGGUGAAAUACACCUAGUGUAGCUCACCUGGCUCUGCGGUUCCACCAGCCUCAGCACUCCUCAGAGAUCAGUCCGCAGGUGACAGGAACAGGUGAACAGGCAGCCCUGGAGUGUGACUUGCACUUUCCUAUCUGGACGAAGUUAGGUAACACUACUCCUCCAGCAUCUCCUGACAGACGACACUUCCACCACUCCACUUUUAUGCGAU